GGAGGUUUCCGGGUGAUGCUCCCCAGAAUCGGGUUCCUUUCUCUCUGGUUCCAGGGUGUGUCACCCAAGAACCACU
rfam:Myotis davidii contig46995, whole genome shotgun sequence.